GGAGAUCCCUGCCUACUUUGGCUCUUCUAAAGCUUACAGAGGAAGUGAACAGCAUCAGUGCCAUCAUAAGUCUUUGAAGCGCUCCUGAAGUAAAUUUGCCUCCAGUCCAGAGGAAAUGAUGCUGUAUUCUGUUAUUUGCACAACUACCAUUUCCAUUAAUCAUCUUUGGUCCUUGGGAUGGAGUGCUCAUCGACAGAAGCUAUCUGUGUUAUUUGGCGCCAGAGUUUUCACUGAUC